rnacentral:rRNA from 1 species
UACAGAGGGUGCAAGCGUUAAUCGGAAUUACUGGGCGUAAAGCGCGCGUAGGCGGCUGCCUAAGUCGGAUGUGAAAGCCCCGGGCUCAACCUGGGAACUGCAUUCGAUACUGGGCGGCUAGAGUAUGAGAGAGGGAGGUAGAAUUCCACGUGUAGCGGUGAAAUGCGUAGAUAUGUGGAGGAAUACCGGUGGCGAAGGCAGGUCUCUGGGCUGACACUGACGCUCAUGCACGAAAGCGUGGGGAGCAAACAGG